GACGAACGCUUGCGGCGUGCUUAACACAUGCAAGUCGAACGGAAAGGCCCUGCUUUUGUGGGGUGCUCGAGUGGCGAACGGGUGAGUAACACGUGAGUAACCUGCCCUUGACUUUGGGAUAACUUCAGGAAACUGGGGCUAAUACCGGAUAGGAGCUCCUGCUGCAUGGUGGGGGUUGGAAAGUUUCGGCGGUUGGGGAUGGACUCGCGGCUUAUCAGCUUGUUGGUGGGGUAGUGGCUUACCAAGGCUUUGACGGGUAGCCGGCCUGAGAGGGUGACCGGCCACAUUGGGACUGGGCUACGGCCCAGACUCCUGCGGGAGGCAGCAGUGGGGAAUAUUGCACAAUGGGCGGAAGCCUGAUGCAGCAACGCCGCGUGCGGGAUGACGGCCUUCGGGUUGUAAACCGCUUUCGCCUGUGACGAAGAGUGAGUGACGGUAAUGGGUAAAGAAGCACCGGCUAACUACGUG
rnacentral:rRNA from 1 species